rnacentral:misc_RNA from 1 species
GAAAUGCGAUAAGUAAUGUGAAUUGCAGAAUUCAGUGAAUCAUCGAAUCUUUGAACGGACAUUGCGCCCGCCAGCACUCUGGCGGGCAUGCCUGUUCGAGCGUCAUUUCAACCCUCAGAACCCCUUGCGGGAUCUGGCGUUGGGGAUUGGCAUCCAGCCAGCCCCGAAAUCUAGUGGCGGUCCCUCCGCGACCUCCCCUGUGCAGUAGCGAUACCUCGCAGCGGGACAGCGGUCUGACCACGCCGUAAAACCCCCAACUUCUCAAGGUUGACCUCGAAUCAGGUAGGAAUACCCGCUGAACUUAAGC